CAUUCGCGCCUGUAUCUUGCUGAACCGCUGCCAUUAUGGCCAACGAUCCGGUUGAGCAAAAUUUCAGGUGUGUGAGAAA
rfam:Drosophila melanogaster chromosome 2L.